UACAGAGGUGGCAAGCGUUGUUCGGAAUUACUGGGCGUAAAGGGCUCGUAGGCGGCCAACUAAGUCAGACGUGAAAUCCCCAGGCUCAACCUGGGAACUGCGUCUGAUACUGGAUGGCUUGAAUUCGGGAGAGGGAUGCAGAAUUCCAGGUGUAGCGGUGAAAUGCGUAGAUAUCUGGAGGAAUACCGGUGGCGAAGGCGGCAUCCUGGACCGACAUUGACGCUGAUGAGCGAAAGCUAGGGGAGCAAACGGG
rnacentral:rRNA from 1 species